rnacentral:rRNA from 1 species
GAUGAACGCUGGCGGCGUGCCUAAUACAUGCAAGUCGAGCGAACAGACGAGGAGCUUGCUCCUCUGACGUUAGCGGCGGACGGGUGAGUAACACGUGGAUAACCUACCUAUAAGACUGGGAUAACUUCGGGAAACCGGAGCUAAUACCGGAUAAUAUAUUGAACCGCAUGGUUCAAUAGUGAAAGACGGUUUUGCUGUCACUUAUAGAUGGAUCCGCGCCGCAUUAGCUAGUUGGUAAGGUAACGGCUUACCAAGGCAACGAUGCGUAGCCGACCUGAGAGGGUGAUCGGCCAAACUGGAACUGAGACACGGUCCAGACUCCUACGGGAGGCAGCAGUAGGGAAUCUGCCGCAAUGGGCGAAGGCCUGACGGAGCAACGCCGCGUGAGUGAUGAAGGUCUUCGGAUCGUAAAACUCUGUUAUUAGGGAAGAACAAAUGUGUAAGUAACUAUGCACGUCUUGACGGUACCUAAUCAGAAAGCCACGGCUAACUACGU